AUCCAUACAAAGUGUACAUUAAAAUGCUUCGCAGUGCAGCAAUUUGGAAGCCGCUUGCUCAAAAGAUCAAAGGAUGGGAUCCUAUAUGGGGCACGGUCUUCUUCUCAUGCUUAUUCACAUCCCCCUGGCUGUUAGGAAGAGGCAGGGGCUCCAGGAGGGUUCUCGCAGAGCCAGUGAUGCGAAGGCACAGCCACCACCACCUCCCAGCUCCCAGACCUGCCCCGCUGCCGCCUGCGCUCUGCUUCCCUGCUGCUGGAGGCACAGGGCGGAUAAAAACCUGUGGAUCCCUUCCAGGCUAUCAGUCUGUCACCUACGGGUGGAGUUCAGUUAUCCGUAUGUGAUGUGCUCCGAUUAAGAUCGGGGAAGAGUUUUGAAAGCACAGACUUGCUGUGCUCAAAGUGCCUACAGAAAACUCCUGAGGAGCUGUGGGUCUGUGACUCAGUAUCUGGGUUCAGAUUGCAUCCAGGCCAUGGGCUUUGAUUUUUGAUUUAUUUAUUUUCAGCUGGGGUAAGGCUCAAACACAGCUUCAGCCAUAUAGCACUUAAUGCUCCGCUCUUAUAAAAUUGCAAAAACUUCAUCCAAUUUAGCUAAAUUCAUUGCAUGGUUUCUCUUAAGGAACGCAAUUUGCCGGUUACAUAAGAUUUCUGUGCAUCUAAAAAAAAGCAAAUCCAAUUGUUCCUUCCUGGUCUGCUUCCAAUAUAGACUCGUCCAGCCGGCCCCGAGAGCAGGCUGAGCUCUGGCCCCAAACCCAGCAGUGAGGAGCUGAAGUGGGAGCACUCCAGGGAAACUUUGCUGUCUGAGAGGAGGGUGCUGUGGGCAGCUCACCAUGAAGCUGGUCUUACUGGGGCCCCCAAAGGAAAAAUGCUGUGCUUAGUUUUGGUACAAUGCCUCGUCUCGUUUGCAGAGUGCAGUUGCCUUUUGUAGUAUUAGGGAUAAUUACAAUAAUUUGUUAUUCAUCAAACAGUUGCAUAUCUUGAAAAAUGUACUUGGGGUACUUCAGCAAUGCCGUAUGAGGCAGAGCAAGCGAGGCAGGGAAGGUGUCACAAGCUCCCACGGGCAGAUUACAUGUUUUCUUGAAGAUAAGAUGUGUCCCGGACAGCUACACUAUGGUGAAUCAUGCAGAACAAAUCAGACUUUUUUUUGUUUUGUUUUAAAAAGUACUUUUUAAAACUGCCUGAUUAUGUAAUAAUGCUCAGUGAUUUUUAGGGCUUUGUCCUGCAAGUUAUUGAACAAUUCCAACUUGAGAAAUAUCAAAAGUCAAUUUAUAACCAGCUACCUGGAUUUGCUGUCAAUAAUUUUGAGUAAUAGUGCUUAAAUACUAUUUUCUUGACAAUUCUAAAA
rnacentral:lncRNA from 1 species